ensembl:lncRNA
GGAACCUGCCCUGGUUCCACAGUCGUGUGCUGAUGUCAUCACACAGUGAUAAAGGAGAUGCCUGCUGUCCUUCAGUGACCCUAGCCGUCCCACUGAGGUCAUUACCUCUGAAUGCCCUCCGAUGGACACACAGCUCAGACCCCAGCUCAGACCCCUCAGCUCCUUCACAUAUUUUAUCCCCUCUCUCCUCUGCUCCAAUUGGCUCCCACACUAAGGCACAGACACAGCUCUCUGAAAUCUAAGUGGGGGCCACACUUUGGUGGAUGAGAGGAAACCGGGGCAACCGUGGAGCAAUGCUGGAACUACCAUUCCCGCACUGAGGGACACAAAACAGGAAUACACAGUGGGGCACAGUGUCAACACCAUGAUACACACAAUCAGCCACUCGCCAACCCAGGGAACCUGCACCAACACAUCACAGCACCACCAUCUCACUGGUGACGAAGCUUGACCCCACAUCCAACCACAACAGGAACUGAGUUUGACUUUUAGUGCUGAAUUAAUUGCUAAUUAAAGAAAAAGGAAGAAAUGGUAACGCUUGCAGUGUCAUACCCCACAACACUCAAGGCUGUAAUAGCUGCCAAAGUUGCUACAACAAAUUACUGAGUCAAG